rnacentral:rRNA from 1 species
UACGUAGGGGGCCAGCGUUGCUCGGAAUUACUGGGCGUAAAGGGUUCGUAGGUGGUGCGGCAAGUUGGAAGUGAAAUCUCUGGGCUUAACCCAGAGGCUGCUUUCAAAACUGCCGUGCUCGAGUGCGAGAGAGGUCAGUGGAAUUGCAGGUGUAGCGGUGAAAUGCGUAGAUAUCUGGAGGAACACCUGUGGCGAAGGCGGCCACCUGGUUGGAUACUGACGCUGAGACGCGAAAGCAUGGGGAGCAAACAGG